rnacentral:rRNA from 1 species
AAAUUGAAGAGUUUGAUCAUGGCUCAGAUUGAACGCUGGCGGCAGGCCUAACACAUGCAAGUCGAGCGGUAGCACAGAGAGCUUGCUCUCGGGUGACGAGCGGCGGACGGGUGAGUAAUGUCUGGGAAAC